rnacentral:lncRNA from 12 species
GAUUGGAAUGGAAGUCACCUGGCACCAAGCUUUGCUCCCUCGUCUGCUUCCAGGGACAAUGAGCAACUCUCAGGGGGAGGCAAAGAAGAAGCAGUUGCUGCCGGUGAACGUCAGACUGGAACUGAGGCAGGCGUCCUGUGAGUGCUCGUGAGAGCUGCUGGGCCAAGACCUCGCCGCUCCGCGGGCUGCAGCCCCAUCUGCCCUCCUUGGUGACAGCUGGGGGCAGAUCUGAGAAAGGACUCACCGCUUCGCCUCCACUCCCCGGGCUCGGGAUGUCCAGGACUCCGUGGGAGAAGGAGGCGGCGUCCUGCAGCACAUCACGUCUCGGUGCAGCUCUGCGGUGCCCCUACAGUGCCCAGCUCUAGCGGCGUGACCUUGGCUUGGCCAUGCCUCAGUUUCCUUGUGAGUCACACGGAGAUAAUGCAAGCUGAAUAUUGUGUCUACGGGGCUGUUACGAGACACGCAAAGCACGGACGAUGCCGCCCGGUGCUUCUGGAGGGCUCAGCAAAGGUUGGACACCUCUAGAAAAUGACCUCCAAAAACACAACUUUUAAUGACCGUGUAGCCUUCUAAUGUGUAGGUAGAUUAUAAUUUGUUGAGCCAGCCCCUUGUUGUUGGGCGUGUAGGCUGCUUCCACUCUUCCGCUUUUAUAAAUAAUGCUGCAGUGAACAUCUCGUACAUCAAUCUUUCUGUUUAUCUCUGAUUGCUUCCUUAGAAGGACUCCCCAAAUCGUGCUCGUCUUAGAACAAAGCCCCGUCCCCUAGGCUUUUCAAUGAUGCCCCUGGAAAUAAAAGCAGAGCCCAUUUUCCACCAGGGCAAGAAACAUAUGGAACGUGUUAACCAAGAGGUGGUUCAGGAGGAAAGUAGAAAUAGGUUCAAGAUGGGUUUGGAUCCCCUUCAGGAUGUCUGACACGGAAUCAGUCAUACAGCUCCCCUCGAGCCACCUCCCCGGAGAGAGGGAGGCAGAGGCUGAUUCUCAGGGGCCACUGACUUCUCUCUUUGAGGGAAUUCCAAAGGGCUUUGAAGUUCUUGGUGUUGGAGAAGCACCGAUGACAGAUCAAUCAAGGAAGCCAGUGUGUGUGGACGACUCCUCCAGCCAGGAGGGGGCAAUGUCGCCUGCCUCUGCCAUCCAGAAUCGCUUUGGGUUGCCAUUUAUUCAUCCAUUCAUUUGGGAGAAAUCUAUUGCGUGCUUCCCCCCAGGCCAGACGUCAAGACUGUUUUCAGACUUUCAAAGACCUAGACACCCUUGCUCUGGAAGCUCCAACUCACACAGAUCAAGCAUAUUGCAAUUCACCCAGAUUCCAUAUUAAGUGUAUUUUUUUUUCCUGUAAAGAAAAAUAAAGAUUAUUUUUAUAACUUUGCUUUUGGAAUU